rnacentral:misc_RNA from 1 species
UCGUGGUGUCACGCUCGUCGUUUGGUAUGGCUUCAUUCAGCUCCGGUUCCCAACGAUCAAGGCGAGUUACAUGAUCCCCCAUGUUGUGCAAAAAAGCGGUUAGCUCCUUCGGUCCUCCGAUCGUUGUCAGAAGUAAGUUGGCCGCAGUGUUAUCACUCAUGGUUAUGGCAGCACUGCAUAAUUCUCUUACUGUCAUGCCAUCCGUAAGAUGCUUUUCUGUGACUGGUGAGUACUCAACCAAGUCAUUCUGAGAAUAGUGUAUGCGGCGACCGAGUUGCUCUUGCCCGGCGUCAAUACGGGAUAAUACCGCGCCACAUAGCAGAACUUUAAAAGUGCUCAUCAUUGGAAAACGUUCUUCGGGGCGAAAACUCUCAAGGAUCUUACCGCUGUUGAGAUCCAGUUCGAUGUAACCCACUCGUGCACCCAACUGAUCUUCAGCAUCUUUUACUUUCACCAGCGUUUCUGGGUGAGCAAAAACAGGAAGGCAAAAUGCCGCAAAAAAGGGAAUAAGGGCGACACGGAAAUGUUGAAUACUCAUACUCUUCCUUUUUCAAUAUUA